CACGCGGUGAGAAAUCAUCUGUUCACGGGGUGCCCCACAGCACAGCCCAAAACUUUGUGCCACUUUGGCGCACGUGCUCUCUCCCAUAUGCUUCGUCUUGGUUGCGUGUUGAGCGUUUUCUCGAUUCGCCCGGACUCGGCGCAGAUUGUAAUCUUCUUACCGCCUGCAGGACAGUUCAGCAUCGACAACUGACUGCGCACCCCGAUAAACCGCCCCCGACACAGCUUGUGUACCGCGUAUCAGCGAUCUGCGAAAACUAAGGCUCGAUCGACAAAUAACGACGCAUUUAAUAAUAUGGAAUAAUAUGUCUACCACCUUAUCGCUGACGAUGGCUGUAAGUCCGACGAAAUGGCACUUUGCGGCACACAUGGGCCAGCUGCUCAGGGACGCAGGUGAUGCGCUCGUGACGCCGAUCGGAUGCUCCCAUCUGUGGCCAAGCUGCCCGUACAGCUCGAAAAAGCUGCUCAAGCUAACCAACGUGGUGCACCUGAAGUAGGAGUGCGUAAGCAACGGAACCACCACCAUUCGCAAGUGAAACAAGUCAAGUCAAGCCGGGCGCCUAUGCGAGCGCUGUGUGAGUGUGUUAUAUUGCAUUGCGUACGCACACGAUCGGUGCGAGUUUAUGAGAAACUGCGCUAAUGCUUGCGUCUCGAGCAGCGUAACACACCCAAAAACUGUAAAUUUGACCAGCAACUAGAAGCAUAGGAUUUACGGGGGGAAAAACCUUCAACAAUCGCUUGGACUGUUUUGAUUAACAUUCCAAAAAACCCGACGCCUAAAGCACCCGCUUCCGCCCCGUUCCGUUCAACAAUCAGCAUACAGCAAGCCCCAUGCUUUCUUUCGCCAAACGAACCAGAAAACUACGGAACUGAUCGAUUUACUCCCGGUGCAAUGUGUAACGAUGCGUUCAAGAGUCAAUUGUUAACGCCCGAGGAAGUCAUGUUGCUGGCAUUUUUUUAAUGUAACGUUUUUCCCCCUCUCGAAAAACAAGCGCAUGCAAACAAACAAAGUAUUGUGGAAGUUCUGCUCAGCAAUUUGCAGGAAGUAGUAGGAAAGCGGUAUGGAAGACAGCCGGGGUGUUAAAUACAAAAAACCCUGCCCGUUGACCUUACACGGUUGAUUAGGUUUAGUAGCUGAUGCUCUCGGUUAUUACCCACCGCGUGUUGUUCCAGCCCACACCCCACUACAGCCAAUUCCAUCUUCGCUUUUUACCCGUUAGCACCAACGCCAAUUGGACUUGUAGUGUAAAAAGCAAGCGCAAAGCUGCUAACAAAAUAUGGUACCGAUUUUUCACGGCUAAUGCGCUAGAUGCCGGCUGCCGUCACACUCAUCUUAAGCCAUCAAUGGUUUACGAUUUUGCUUGCGUGCUGGUAGAGCGUGUGGCUCGAUUGUGGCAAGUUUCAACGCGCCUAACGACCGCGUACGUGCGCAUGAUUCGAUUACGAAGCGCCCACUGCGAAGGCUAAUUUGUGCAUUUUUAUGCGUGCGGAAAUGCGUACGGAACAGGGUGAUUGUUCAUGCGUGUGUGUGUGUAUGUGUGUGCUUGUGCAUGUACAUACAGAUAUACAGAUGUUACAUCGUGUGCGCGUAACAUCUACCCGGAACCACAGUUAAACAAUUCGGUGAACCGUUAAAUGUGAUCGAUAAAAGGUUGUCAAGUGUGAAAUAAUGGCAACACUGUAAUAAAUCUCGCUAGCGUAGGUAGGUAGGAUAUGAAUAAAUUAUCUUCCACCGGGUCAGACGUAAAGGGACGAGCCGGUCCGAUCAGGUGCAGUGGAUGAGAGAGAGGGAACAAAAGUGAAACUGAAGAGAAAACAAUAAUUAAGUGCACUUACCGGUAGCGUAAAAAUAGGGAAUCGAAAUACUUUUAGGAAACAUGCCAGUCGGUGGCAAUGAACUGUUGUAAAUAAAUAACUUCUACAAUGUUGAUCUAGUGUAUAAUGUAAAGCAGGACGGUACAAUGCGUGAUAGAAUGUAGCGAAAUUGCGUCAUAGAUUUUCUACGACAACCAGCGCCGCCGUAUUAUCCCUGUCUGUUUAGCCCAACGCUUCACAGAGUAAUACAUUCUAGUGAGCAAAUUUAGCUUCUAGAAAGUGACCGUUAGAAGCGGACCAUUUUAUGAUUAUGCACACAAUGUUUAGAGCUCGAUAAGACCACGGAGGAAAAAGUGAUUUGCUUUGUUUUAAGUUGUGAAUAAAAUUGCAAGCCACCCAAACGGUGUAAACGCUGGCUUGGGCAGGAGAAAUUUUACCCGAGAGCUCACUCGAGUGCCAUACGCGUCGUAUCGUCUGAGAGUGAAAUACAGUAACGUACAUUUAAAUUCUAAAA